UAAAAAAUAAGCUAAUAAAGCUUUUAGGCUCAUACCCUAUUUAUAAAAGUUUUAAUCUUUUUUUUUUAA
rnacentral:tRNA from 1 species